CAGUCGCCGCGGUAAUACAGAGGGUGCGAGCGUUAAUCGGAUUUACUGGGCGUAAAGCGUGCGUAGGCGGCUUCUUAAGUCGGAUGUGAAAUCCCUGAGCUUAACUUAGGAAUUGCAUUCGAUACUGGGAAGCUAGAGUAUGGGAGAGGAUGGUAGAAUUCCAGGUGUAGCGGUGAAAUGCGUAGAGAUCUGGAGGAAUACCGAUGGCGAAGGCAGCCAUCUGGCCUAAUACUGACGCUGAGGUACGAAAGCAUGGGGAGCAAACAGGAUUAGAUACCCGGGUAGUCCCUGUCUCUUAUAU
rnacentral:rRNA from 1 species